AUUGAACGCUGGCGGCAUGCUUUACACAUGCAAGUCGAACGGCAGCGGGGUAGUGCUUGCACUACUGCCGGCGAGUGGCGAACGGGUGAGUAGUAUAUUGGAACGUACCGAGUCAUGGGGGAUAACCAAUCGAAAGAUUGGCUAAUACCGCAUACGCUCUGAGGCGGAAAGCAGGGGAGCUUCGGGCCUUGCGUUAUUCGAGCGGCCAAUAUCUGAUUAGCUAGUUGGUGGGGUAAGGGCCUACCAAGGCGACGAUCAGUAGCGGGUCUGAGAGGCUGAUGCGCCACACUGGAACUGAGACACGGCCCAGACUCCUACGGGAGGCAGCAGUGGGGAAUUUUGGACAAUGGGCGCAAGCCUGAUCCAGCCAUGCCGCGUGUGUGACGAAGGCCUUCGGGUUGUAAAGGACUUUUGUUAGGGAAGAAAAAGGAGCGGUUAAUACCCGUUUCUGCUGACGGUACCUAAAGAAUAAGCACCGGCUAACUACGUG
rnacentral:rRNA from 1 species